rnacentral:rRNA from 1 species
UACGUAGGGUGCGAGCGUUGUCCGGAAUUACUGGGCGUAAAGAGCUCGUAGGUGGUUUGUCGCGUUGUUCGUGAAAACUCACAACUUAACUGUGGGCGUGCGGGCGAUACGGGCAGACUGGAGUACUGCAGGGGAGACUGGAAUUCCUGGUGUAGCGGUGGAAUGCGCAGAUAUCAGGAGGAACACCGGUGGCGAAGGCGGGUCUCUGGGCAGUAACUGACGCUGAGGAGCGAAAGCGUGGGGAGCGAACAGG